rnacentral:tRNA from 1 species
GCUUCAUUGGCUCAGUGGGAGAGCGUCUGUCUAGUAAACAGAAGGUCGCUGGUUCGAUUCCAGCAUGAGGCA